rnacentral:tRNA from 1 species
GCCGGGGUAGCUCAGUGGUAGAGCACACGGCUGAAAACCGUGGUGUCGGCGGUUCGACUCCGCCCCCCGGCACCA